GAGAGAGGCUCGACAGCAACGAAGACUGCUAAUUUUUGUCACCUUGGUUAAACCCCAAGGCUCACUCG
rnacentral:tRNA from 1 species